UCCGUCGUGGUGCAAUGGUAGCCCACCAGUCCUAUCGGUCAGCAUUACCAAAAUGCUAUGUACAUGCUUUCAAUUACAAGCAUCGAAAAGGUUGCAUGUAUUGACUGGAGAUCUAAGUUCGACUCUCAGCGACGGAG